rnacentral:rRNA from 1 species
GACGAACGCUGGCGGCGUGCUUAACACAUGCAAGUCGAACGGAAAGGCCUCUUUCGGGGGGUACUCGAGUGGCGAACGGGUGAGUAACACGUGAGUAACCUGCCCUUGACUUUGUGAUAACGUCAGGAAACUGGGGCUAAUACCGGAUAGGAGCUCCUGCUGCAGGGUGGGGGUUGGAAAGUUUCGGCGGUUGGGGAUGGACUCGCGGCGUAUCAGCUUGUUGGUGGGGUAGUGGCUUACCAAGGCUUUGACGGGUAGCCGGCCUGAGAGGGUGACAGUCCGCAUUGGGACUGAGAUACGGCCGCGACUCCUACGGGAGGCAGAAGUGGGGAAUCUUGCACCAUGGGUGGAAGCCUGAUGCAGCAACGCCGUGUGCGGGAUGACGGCCUUCGGGUUGUAAACCGCUUUCGCUCAUGACGAAGCUUUGUGUGACGGUAGUGGGUAAAGAAGCACCGGCUAACUACGUG